CAAAUAAAAACAUAAUAACAAUAUGGGCUCAGAAAUGCUCAAUCCUUCCAUCCGGGUUGUAUUAUCCUCCAUCAUUUCCAUCCAAACAUGUGUAAUCUAUGGCAUGGGUACGAUGUCCCGUCAAAGAACCACUCAUCGCUUUCUCUAAUUUUAUCUUCUCGCUUCAUGAGCUUCCCAAGUGUUUUCCGUUGCAUCUUUGGCCACUGUCAAGAUGCAGCGUGUAGAAGGGUCAAUUUACUUCAUCCAAGGCUGAUUCUCAUGAAGGGACUCAGCUGCUUCUGGCUGCGGUGCAACGCAGGGUUCUGGACAAGAUGAUAGCAUGCUGGAAACUUUGCGAGUGGUGAUUCAUUUUUUUAAUCCACAAGCAUCCUUUUUUUAACAGUGUCAUUUCCAAAAAAAAAAAGGGGUGAAAAUCCUGCAUAAGAAAGAUCUUUUUCCUGAUGCUUUAUGCCGAUGGACUCAUUGCAGAAUCGGUUCAAAGUCCACUCCGGUGAUGCAUCGUGGGCCAGCUGGUCCAAGAACUCUUUGUAAUGCAUGUGGACUCAAGUGAGCCAUCAAGGCGUGGAAACUUCUCGGUGUCCCUCUAAUUUAAUUUGUGAACUUACUGCAGGGUAGUGGCCGCAGACAUAGUCUCUCCUUCUAAUGGUGAUAACUCUGCUGAAAAGGGAGAUGAUAUAUAGUUGUUUCCCUUGAAGCGAUUUCCAUUUUCUAUUAGAAAGCAGAUGCCAAACAGUCCAUCAACUUCUUGUGAAAUAACACCCAGCUUCUCUCUGACCAAAUUGUACAUAUAUAUGAAUCAGCACCUUCGAUCGUA